UACGAAGGGGGCUAGCGUUGUUCGGAAUUACUGGGCGUAAAGCGCGCGCAGGCGGCCUUUCAAGUCAGGGGUGAAAGCCCGGAGCUCAACUCCGGAAUUGCCUUUGAAACUGUCAGGCUCGAGUACGGGAGAGGUGAGUGGAAUUCCCAGUGUAGAGGUGAAAUUCGUAGAUAUUCGCAAGAACACCAGUGGCGAAGGCGGCUCACUGGCCCGAUACUGACGCUGAGGAGCGAAAGCGUGGGGAGCGAACAGG
rnacentral:rRNA from 1 species